UGAGGAAUAUUGGUCAAUGGCCGAGAGGCUGAACCAGCCAAGUCGCGUGAGGGAAGACUGUCCUAUGGAUUGUAAACCUCUUUUGUCAGGGAGCAAAGGCUGGCCUGCGGGCCAGUUUGAGAGUACCUGAAGAAAAAGCAUAGGCUAACUCCGUGCCAGCAGCCGCGGUAAUACGGAGGAUGCGAGCGUUAUCCGGAUUUAUUGGGUUUAAAGGGUGCGCAGGCGGCUUGUCAAGCAAGCGGUAAAAUGUCGGGGCUCAACCCCGUCCGGCCGUUUGAACUGGCGAGCUUGAGUAUAUUCGAGGUAAGCGGAAUUCGUGGUGUAGCGGUGAAAUGCAUAGAUAUCACGAAGAACUCCGAUUGCGAAGGCAGCUUACCAGGAUGUUACUGACGCUCAGGCA
rnacentral:rRNA from 1 species